CGGGUCUGUCCCCAGACACCUGGCUAAACUCAUAGUUAGCCAUUGGGCUCCUGGAAACUGGCCCAGGCUAGGCAGGAAGAGAGCACAGGGCUGGCUAGGUCAGAGCCUGCCCCUCCUCCUUUCUUUCACUUGCUUUUUAUCUGCUUCCUUUCCCACCCCCUGCUCCUGCUUUAAAGUUCCACGGGGGUGACUGGACUAAUAAGGUUUUUGAGUUGUCAACAGUCACUCCAACUGUUUACUUCCAGACUCCGGAGCACACUGACCGGAACCUCUCUCUCCAAGAGAAGACAGCACUUUAGCCUCUGCAGGAUGAAUCUCUCUACUUCAACUAGGCCAAUCUAGAAGAUCCCCCACAAACAUGCCAGUGACAUGUCUCCAAGAAGAUUCUAGAGUCAAUAUUAACGUUCACAGCAGACCUCAAGUUGUACCCUCUCCUGGCUGAACACUACAGAUGCCAGCAGAUGCCCUGGGACAAGGCAGAUCUCACAGGCUUGGAAAUGAACUAUCUAGCCACCAAAUUCAACUUUGGAGAGCUUCUUCUUGGCUUCCUUCCCACAAGGCUGGGCAUUUGCUAAGGGUGUGGUUGAUAAUGAUUGAGCUUUUUUUUUUUUUAAUUUGUAUUCUGAGAUUUAACUUGAAGUCCUUAAGCACUUGUUAGGCAAAUGGAUGGACAGCUCCCCCAGGUUACUCCCAGGAUUCAGUUUUUCCGAGGAGUGGAGGGUUAUUCCCACAUGUCACAUGUGAACUGUAGAUUUGAAAAUGGAACAUGAAAUGCUGCUCCUGUUUUGUUUCGUUUGUCUCCCUUAUCUCUGACCCUGUGCUGUUCUCCCACUUUCUUUUACCCGGUUGCCCUGUGUUUCUUUUCAUGUUGUCUGUAAGUGCAAAGUUCAAAAACAGUUACUGUAUAACAAGCCUCCUUUCCUCUCAAAUAAAAAGAUGCCUGUCCACCCCCCCAACCAUCCCUUUUAAAAGAGUAUUGUUAAUUUUUUCAAAGACAUGUUUUUGUUUGGUUUAUGUGUAUUAUGUGAGCAUGUAUGGGUUUAUAUGCACGAGGUGUGUUCAAGAGCCUGUGGAGGGCAAGAAGAAAGCACCAGAUUCCCUGAAGCUGUAGUUAUAAGAGGUUGUGAACCACCGUCGCAUACCAUCUGGUAUGCAAUUCAGAAUUUUUUUCAAGCACUCUUCUAUCUAGCCCUAUGUAUCUGCUUUUGGCAAUAAAUAUGAUAAAUACACAUGGA